AUAACAGUUAGAAAUGACUGCUAAUACCGCAUAAGACCACAGCACCGCAUGGUGCAGGGGUAAAAACUCCGGUGGUAUGAGAUGGACCCGCGUCUGAUUAGGUAGUUGGUGGGGUAACGGCCUACCAAGCCGACGAUCAGUAGCCGACCUGAGAGGGUGACCGGCCACAUUGGGACUGAGACACGGCCCAAACUCCUACGGGAGGCAGCAGUGGGGAAUAUUGCACAAUGGGGGAAACCCUGAUGCAGCGACGCCGCGUGAGCGAUGAAGUAUUUCGGUAUGUAAAGCUCUAUCAGCAGGGAAGAAAAUGACGGUACCUGACUAAGAAGCACCGGCUAAAUACGUGCCAGCAGCCGCGGUAAUACGUAGGGGGCAAGCGUUAUCCGGAUUUACUGGGUGUAAAGGGAGCGUAGACGGAUGGACAAGUCUGAUGUGAAAGGCUGGGGCUCAACCCCGGGACUGCAUUGGAAACUGCCCGUCUUGAGUGCCGGAGAGGUAAGCGGAAUUCCUAGUGUAGCGGUGAAAUGCGUAGAUAUUAGGAGGAACACCAGUGGCGAAGGCGGCUUACUGGACGGUAACUGACGUUGAGGCUCGAAAGCGUGGGGAGCAAACAGGAUUAGAUACCCUGGUAGUCCACGCGGUAAACGAUGAAUGCUAGGUGUCG
rnacentral:rRNA from 1 species